UACGAAGGGGGGCUAGCGUUGCUCGGAAUCACUGGGCGUAAAGGGUGCGUAGGCGGGUCUUUAAGUCAGGGGUGAAAUCCUGGAGCUCAACUCCAGAACUGCCUUUUGAUACUGAAGAUCUUGAGUUCGGGAGAGGUGAGUGGAACUGCGAGUGUAGAGGUGAAAUUCGUAGAUAUUCGCAAGAACACCAGUGGCGAAGGCGGCUCACUGGCCCGGUACUGACGCUGAGGUGCGAAAAGCGUGGGGGAG
rnacentral:rRNA from 1 species